UACGAAGGUGGCAAGCGUUACUCGGAAUUACUAGGCGUAAAGCGCAGGUAGGUGGUUGGAUAAGUCCGUAAUGAAAGCUCCCGGCCUAACCGGGAGAGGUUUAAGGAUACUGUCCGACUCGAGUGUGGGAGAGGUGACUGGAAUUCCUGGUGUAGCGGUGAAAUGCGUAGAUAUCAGGAGGAACACCAACGGCGAAAGCAGGUCACUGGCCCAAUACUGACACUGAGCUGCGAAAGCUAGGGGAGCAAACAGG
rnacentral:rRNA from 1 species